ensembl:snoRNA
UAGUGAAAUGAUGGAAAUCAUCUUUUGGAACUGACCUGAAAUGGAGAGAAUAUUUGUUGCUGUUCACUU